GCCAAAGUAUCUUAGUAGGGUGAGCAUUAGACUGAAGAUCUAAAGGGCCCUGGUUCAAUCCCAGGCUUUGGCA